UACAGAGACUGCGAGCGUUAUUCGGAUUCACUGGGCGUAAAGGGUGCGCAGGCGGCCGUGUGUGUGAGGCGUGAAAGCCCGGGGCUUAACCCCGGAAUUGCACCUCAAACUACAUGGCUAGAGCAUUGGAGAGGGUAGCGGAAUUCACGGUGUAGCAGUGAAAUGCGUAGAUAUCGAGAGGAACACCUGCGGCGAAGGCGGGUUGCUGGGCUGACACUGACGCUGAUGCGCGAAAGCUAGGGGAGCGAACGGG
rnacentral:rRNA from 1 species